rnacentral:rRNA from 1 species
GAUUAACGCUAGCGGCAGGCCUAAUACAUGCAAGUCGAACGGUAAAUAGUGUAGCAAUACAUUAUGAGAGUGGCGCACGGGUGAGUAACGCGUAUGCAACCUACCUUUAACUGGGGGAUAGCCUUCCGAAAGGAGAUUAAUACCGCAUAAAAUUAUGAAGUGGCAUCACUUUAUAAUCAAAACUCCGGUGGUUAAAGAUGGGCAUGCGUGACAUUAGCUAGUUGGUGAGGUAACGGCUCACCAAGGCGACGAUGUCUAGGGGUCUGAGAGGAUGAUCCCCCACACUGGUACUGAGACACGG